CCUACGGGUGGCAGCAGUGAGGAAUAUUGGUCAAUGGGCGUAAGCCUGAACCAGCCAAGUCGCGUGAGGGAUGAAGGUUCUAUGGAUCGUAAACCUCUUUUAUAAGGGAAUAAUGUGCGGGACGUGUCCCGUUUUGUAUGUACCUUGUGAAUAAGGCUCGGCCAACGCCGGGCCAGGCGCCGCGGUAAUACGGAGGAUCCGAGCGUUAUCCGGAUUUAUUGGGGUUAAAGGGUGGGUAGGCGGGCUUUUAAGUCAGCGGUGAAAGUCUGUGGCUCAACCAUAGAAUUGCCGUUGAAACUGGUAGUCUUGAGUGUGUUUGAGGCAGGCGGAAUGCGUGGUGUAGCGGUGAAAUGCUUAGAUAUCACGCAGAACCCCGAUUGCGAAGGCAGCCUGCCAGGCCAUGACUGACGCUGAUGCACGAAAGCGUGGGGAUCAAACAGGAUUAGAUACCCGAGUAGUC
rnacentral:rRNA from 1 species